UUUUUUUUUUUUUUUUUUAUCUAGGAAUUUAUUUUCUUUUCUUUUCAUUUCUCGCUGAUUUUAAAGUGGGAUUACUAAUCCUAAGAGUACAAGGAAAAAUCUUUAGUCUCUAAAAAUGCCAAUUUAGCAUAGAAUUUUCUUAAGCUUUGUUUAAUUAAAUAUGAUUUUCAAAGUGUUACUCAAGUAUACAGUCAUAACCUAUUAUAUAAGAUAGAAGGUAUUAGUAUCUCAUGACAUGCGAUCAAAUGCAAUGCACAAAUAUAGAAAAAUGGUUCAUGACAUGAUAAACAAGCUAACAAGUCAUCUCAAUACAUAAGACUUCUUAAGGGAAACAAAAGAAAAUCUGAAUGAUUGGAUGAUAUAUAGUAACAUCUCUGGAAGAGAUGAGUUUGCUAUAUUGGUAGAUGAAUGCCAAAAGUACAAGCUAAAGAAAGCAGAAAACCAGAGCAUUGAUAAUAUUGUUUAACUGUUACCAACUGAAGAAAAGCAUGCACACAAAAAACAAAAAGAAGUAACAGGUUCACAUCAUUAGAUAUCUACAUAGUACCAUGGUAUUCAGUAAGACAAGAUAAUAAAUUAAUAACAAACAAUCAUACUGAAAACUUACAGAGGUGACUUUAGACUCCCAGAUUCCAGACAC
rnacentral:misc_RNA from 1 species